UGCGGAAGGAUAUUAACGAGUUUUGAAACGGGUUGUUGCUGGCCUUCCGAGGCAUGUGCACGCCCUGCUCAUCCACUCUACACCUGUGCACUUACUGUAGGUUGGCGUGGGUUUCUGGCCUCCGGGUUGGAAGCAUUCUGCCGGCCUAUGUACACUACAAACUCUUAAAGUAUCAGAAUGUAAACGCGUCUAACGCAUCUUAAUACAACUUUCAGCAACGGAUCUCUUGGCUCUCGCAUCGAUGAAGAACGCAGCGAAAUGCGAUAAGUAAUGUGAAUUGCAGAAUUCAGUGAAUCAUCGAAUCUUUGAACGCACCUUGCGCUCCUUGGUAUUCCGAGGAGCAUGCCUGUUUGAGUGUCAUGAAAUACUCAACCCAUAAAUCCUUGUGAUCUAUGGGCUUGGAUUUGGAGGCUUGCUGGCCCUAGCGGUCGGCUCCUCUUGAAUGCAUUAGCUUGAUUCCGUGCGGAUCGGCUCUCAGUGUGAUAAUUGUCUACGCUGUGACCGUGAAGCGUUUUGGCAAGCUUCUAACCGUCCAUUAGGACAAUUUUAUAACAUCUGACCUCAAAUCAGGUAGGACUACCCGCUGAACUUAAGCAUAUCAAAACCGGGAAAAAAAAAAAAAUUUAUUAA
rnacentral:misc_RNA from 1 species